rnacentral:rRNA from 1 species
CAGUAGCCACGGUAAUACGUAGGGUGCAAGCGUUAAUCGGAAUUACUGGGCGUAAAGCGUGCGCAGGCGGUUUGUUAAGACAGAUGUGAAAUCCCCGGGCUCAACCUGGGAACUGCAUUUGUGACUGGCAAGCUAGAGUCUGGCAGAGGGGGGUGGAAUUCCGCGUGUAGCAGUGAAAUGCGUAGAUAUGCGGAGGAACACCGAUGGCGAAGGCAGCCCCCUGGGCCAACACUGACGCUCAUGCACGAAAGCGUGGGGAGCAAACAGGAUUAGAGACCCCCGUAGUCCCUGUCUCUUAUAA